CACCUCUGCCUUUCCCUAUCACUUCCUAAGUCCAGUUUCCUCGGUUCAACUCCAAAGCCCUGAAGGAUAGGGGUCCAACCUUCAUUCUCCGUCUUGUGCUCUUAUUAGAACUAAGGCAGUCCUCAUGGACUCAUUUCACCGUAUUUAUUUUUGCAAAACGCACCCAACUGUUUGGUGAGAAAGCUAUCCAGCCACCUGCAUUUCUCUGGUCCUAAGAGAUCUGUUUGGAGACCUCUCAAACAAAUAUUUCAGUUGUCAACAUGACGUGAAGAGGUAAACCCUACAUGAAUAAGAGAUGAUAAUGCUUUAUCACACAAGAGUAAUGCUGACUCUCCUUCUUGCCUGACACAGAUUGGAAAUGGGAUCGCUGAGGCUGUGGUUGGAAGGAGCCCAAUUUUAAGAGAGUUUUCUGACCUUUGUUUCUCCCUGUUUUCCAGGAUGGGGAUGGGAGAGAGAGAGAGAAAGAGAGAGUGUGUGCGUGCGUGUGCGUGUGCGUGUGUGUGUGUGUCUUGUGGGAGGGGUAGUUCCCCUGAGUCUGAAUUUUAGCCUUUCAUAUUCAUCCACAAGGUGCAGUCCUGAGUUCAGAGCAGGAGGCCUCCUCUCUUAGCUCUGGCUUUUUGGGUCCUUCCAGGUCCCAUGAAAGGGUUUCUAGGGACUUCAGUGCAGAGAUGUGCACAGAGCUGAUAAAAACGGGGCAAGGAACAGAACACGUGUGGCUUUUCCAGCAGGGAUGGUUCUUGUUUAAACUUUGGUUUUACAUUUGUUUUGAUAUUUGAAUUUGAAGGAAGGCCAGGAAAGAGGAAAAUCUGCAAUUAUAACUGUUCCUUAUUCUGUUAAAAUGAAGCUCUAAGAUGAAAUGGUAGGUUAAAACAAAGGCAAAACAGCAAUAGGCUCUGGGAUCAAGAGACCUGGGUUCCAGUUCAGGUUCUGUAACUGAGCAGGACCCUCUUGGGACACGUCCCUUGCCCCCAUCCCUUGCUUCAGCUCCUCUCUGAAGUACCUAGAUAAUAGUACCUGAUGUAGAUUUCCUGAGCUAUUUUACAGAUGCUAAAAUGCCCCACCAAAUGGAAGACUGUUAACUGCUUAGGACCAUGAGCACAUGGCCCCCAAGCUUCCUGGUACUUAAGGAUGAUAAUAUUAACCCCUGGGAUACCUGACCUGCCACCUCACCAUCAACUAGAAAAUUGUGCAUGAGCUCAUCACAUAGCCUGGGACAGGCCUCCCUCACCUGGUCUUUAAAAAUACUUUGCUGGCACCACUUAUUGAAGGGACCGUCUUUUCUCCAUUGUAUAUUCUGGCCUCCUUUAUCAUAGAUUAGUUGACCAUAGAUGCUUGGGUUCAAUUCUUGGCUUUCUAUCCUGUUCCACUGAUCUGUAUUUCUGUUUUUGUAUCAGUACCAUACUAUUUUGAUGACUGUAGGUUUAUUGUACAGUCUGAAGCCAGGGACCCAAAUUUUUCCAGUCUGUUUUUCUUUCUCAAGAUUGCUUUGGCUAUUCAGGGUCUUUUGUGUUUCCAUUUGUACAAUGAAGAGGGUAGAAUUCAUGCUUUUGCCCUCUAGUCUGGUGCUGUUCAAUGAAGCUCCCCCCAGGGAUGGAAACAUUCUAUAACUGUGCCACCCAAGAUGGUAACCAUUAGCCAGACAGAGGUGAUGAAAUGUGGCUAGCAAGACCAGGAAUUGAAUUUUAACCUUAUUGAAUUUUAAUAAAUUUGAAUGCAAAUUAGUAAAUAGCCCCACAUGGCUAGUGGCUACCAUAUUGAAUAGCACACUCCCAGAUUCUGGGAAUCUACCAUGAGGAUUCCCAGACUAAAACUAUCUGUGUCCAUCUAUAGGUGGCAUUGGAAGGACAUUGUUAAGAGCAAUUAUAACACCAGCAGAUUCUAAUACCUGUGAAGUCAAGGAUCUUUUCUCUCUUGUUGUGUUUUCUCUCUAGAGCCUUGUACACUAUGCAGCACAUAAUUUAUGAUCAAUAACAUUUGAGUGAACGAAUUAAUAAUCAUUCCCUGGGAUUCUUUCUUCUUUCUUCCUACCAGAUGCCUGAAAUUUCUCUAAAAGCAAAUAAAUCUGGAAGCUUUUGCAUUGUGGUAUCCACAACUCAUCUUUUAAAAUGCAGCUACCUUGGUAAAGGUAUUGCAAUAAAGCCAUUAUUAGCAUCCUGCCUGCAUUCAUCUAUCUGAUUAGUGGAGCCUGAAAGGGGUCAUACAAAGGAGAAGGCCAUUUUGAAAGUAGAGGGGGAAGGGAAAUGCUACAAUUCAAGGAGGUUAUGUUUUGUGUAAUGUUAUGUAUUUCCUUGUGUUGUCACGUGUGUCAGUCUAAGAACUUCUGGUUGUGUUUUGGCAUAGAUGUAUGCAAUAUACAGAUGGGAUUUCUGCAUCAUUAGAGAGUUGGGCCUCAUAUGACAGAAAUAAUAGUGAUAAUAAUAAUAAUAAUGUAGAAGAGGCGAAUUUCCCCUUCUUUUCCUUUUAGUUCUUUUGACUGGCAAUUAAAAUGACAUAAGGCAGUGGUUUCCAUGAUCCUUGCAUCAUUUCACUUAAGAGUCAAAGUCCUGGGAAAGAAUCUGAUUGGUUGAUAUUAGGUCAUGUGCCUGUCCCUGCCUUAUUGGGGUUGUGAGAAAAAAUGAUCUGGCAGCAAUACCUAGCACACAAUAGCUGUUCCCUAUAUGAGCAGCUAUUGUUAUUAUUUUUGCCUUUCUCCUCUCUGUGCCUUAUUAUCUGUAACUCAGUGAAUCAUCUUAGAAUGUCUUUGCAACGUGGUUAUCCUGAAAACACCCACCUCAACACCCACCAGCUAAAUUUGCUUCUUCCCUAGCAACAAUAUAUGCAAUUUAGGUGUUAAACAGUGUGAUAACAGUUAUUUCAGUUCUUGCCAUAGUGUUUACCAAUUUUUAGAAGUCUUGCCCCCAGGUACUAUCACUCUAUGAAAAUGCUGCUCUAAGUUACUCUUCCUAAUACAACAAGCCAGAGCCUUAUCAGCUCUUCUGGCUGCUCACCCUAUUGGAAGCACAGCCAGGUCUUAACCAGGGGGGAAAGGAGCCUGGGAACAGGGCCCGUCAGGGGUGGAUCCUGAAGGGGUAGAGCCUAAUGGGGCAAACUGUUGGUUGGCAGAUCAGCCAGCUCAUAAACAGGCCCUAGAUCUUGCCUUCCUUUGGGCCUCAAAGUUGCACUUUGACACUUACUUUAAAAUGAUUCAUCAUUCUCAUCAAAACAUCAUGUUCAUGUAUUAUCUGAACAAAUAACUGAAAAAAUUCCACUACUGACAGUUAUACAAAGAGUAGAGCACUGCCUCUCCAGUCCCUCUAAAUAGUUUUGUCUUUUCCCUCUAAUUUCCAUUUAAGGUCAGCUGGAGCAGGUGCCCCUCACCAUGACCACCCCCUCUAGCCCUUGCACACCUCUGCCAAAUCUUGGACAGGUUGGAUUAGCUUUGAAAGGGAAAGAGGUUUGGAGUUCCUGUAACGGUACAGUGGUUAACGAAUCCGACUAGGAACCAUGAGGUUGUGGGUUCGAUCCCUGGCCUUGCUCAGUGGGUUAAGGAUCCGGCGAUGCUGUGAGCUGUGGUGUAGGUUGCAGAAGCGGUUCGGAUUCCAUGUUGCUGUGGCUCUGGUGUAGGCGGCAGCUACAGCUCCAAUUGGACCCCUAGCCUGGGAACCUCCAUAUGCGUGGGAGCAGCCCUAGAAAAGGCAAAG
rnacentral:lncRNA from 1 species